UGCCCACUCGACAAGAUGGCUACCGAAGGUGUAAAUAAGUGAGAGAAACGUGAUGGGGAAGAAGAUUUCUUCUAUAGACAGUGUCCCAUGGGUUCAUUUUAAGGAAAUUUUAAGUUAUUUUAGUUGAUAUAAAUUUUAUGGUUGGUCUUGAUAUUGACGUGCUAUGACGGGAUCUCAGGUGAAGAAAGCCGGUGUGACCGAUGUUGACGGCGUGACCCCUCCAGUCAAAGGAAUAUUGCGUCAUGUAAAAUGGGAGCAUCUGGUAGCCGGUGUAAGCGGCGGAGCGGCAUCUACACUUCUUCUUCACCCUUUAGACUUAGUCAAAAUAAGAUUUCAAGUGAAUGAAGGGGCAGCGACAGUAGGACAUAUAGACAGACCAGAGUACAGGGGGAUUGUGGAUGCCUUCAGAACGAUACGGAAAACUAGUGGGUUCUCUGGACUGUACCAGGGAGUGAAACCCAAUGUGCUGGGAUCAGCUUCAUCAUGGGGAUUCUACUUCAUGUUUUAUAACAGUAUUAAGACCUUCAUGCAAGAUGGAGACACUAAAGUAGAUUUAGGAGCUGGAAAACACACGUUAGCAGCUUCAGGAGCAGGGUUAAUGACUUUGAUGCUGACGAACCCUCUCUGGGUUGUGAAAACAAGGUUGUGUCUUCAGUAUGAAACUAAUGUUUCCUCCAUAAAGCCAGAAAAGUAUUACUCAGGAAUGAUUGAUGCCCUAUACAAAAUCUACAAGUAUGAAGGUGUUCUUGGAUUGUAUAAGGGUUUUAUACCAGGGAUGUUUGGAAUUUCUCAUGGUGCUAUACAGUUUGUGUGUUAUGAAGAGAUGAAAACCAAAUAUAACAAUUUUAAACAGAGGCCAAUAGAUUACAGACUGAAUUCAGCUGAGUACAUAGCUUUUGCUGCACUCUCCAAGAUUAUAGCGGCCACUGUGACAUAUCCUUACCAGGUGGUUCGAUCUCGGCUACAGGAUCAGCAUCGCAGUUACAGCGGUAUCAGUGACGUCAUCAGGCAAAUUUACAGGUUUGAAGGAAUGCGAGGAUUUUUUAAAGGAAUGAUGGUGUAUUUGUUUCAUGUGACUCCCAAUAUCUGCAUUGUGUUUCUUGUGUGGGAACAAGUGACCAGUUAUAAUAACCGAAUGUGACUUAAAAGAAAUGUAAAACACAGAGAGAUUCCAGUUGUACCAGUAAUAACCGAAGGUGACUUAAAGGAAUGUAAAUCACAGAGAGGUUCCAGUGGAAAAAAUAUUCAGGAAGUUUCAAAUACCUGGAAUUAAUUGGUCUGAAAUUAUACAAUAGGGGAAUCAUUGUUGUUGAAGAGAAAGAAAAAUAAGCAUUAUAUUUUUGUGUGCAGAAAUAUGAAAAAAUUCUCAGGGACUAGUUUAGAUAGUUCAUAUGCUACUGCUAGUGGUAUAUUCCCACAAUUACCAGCUAUAAAAGUUUUAUUUACAGUACUUGUUACUAAUUUUAGAGGUGGUUUUAUUGUGUGUUCAGAAGAGAUUGAAAAGGUUCAUGACCUUUGGAUCAGCCAUAAUCCCAGAGUAAACGAAAACAGAAGCAUAGCUUUGGAGAAUCUCAUUUAAAAAUGUAUUUAUUUUAAAAAUUUUAUU